rnacentral:lncRNA from 1 species
UAUAUAUAUAUAUAUAGAGAGAGAGAGAGAGAGAGAGAGAGAGGAAGAGAUUUUUUGGGUAAAGGGUAGAUGUUGGAUUAUGUAAAAUUAUAUUCUGAGUCAAUACUACGGUGAAAAUGUCGAAGAUUUAAAAUUUCUAGAUGCGCGAUACUAGAAUUUGAAGUUUGAGUACCGGUAUUAAAAAGUGUCUCAGAAAUUUCUCAAAACCCCAAUAUAGUGCGAGCUACUGUGCUAUCGGAAAUAUAAAGGAUUUGAUACUUCCGAUUUUUGAACAUUUGGAUUAAGAAUUAUACGAUUGAGUGAUUGCGGUCCCUCAGGGUUGAAUAGUACCUCUAAGAUUUAGUUAUCCCCACAGAGUAAUAGUAUUAAUCCAAAGAUAAGAAAUAAUUAAAAGGGUUGAUCUAAGGGCCAAAAUGUCGGAAGCACCAGAUGCUCUAUGCUUCCGAUAAUAUAGUAGCUCAUAUAUAUAUAUAUAUAUAUAUAGAGCAGGGCUGCUGUGCUCUUAGGAGCACGAAGGCCUCCGUGCUCCUGAGCCGUUUUCGAUGAUGGAAUUUCCGAAUCGACGAUCGGCUCCGUUAGACUUGAUCUAGCGUAUUUGAAGUUUCUAGAAAAUAAUUUUUGUAAUUUUUCGAUAUCAUGUAUCUAGCAAUCGAAAAGAUUCAAAAUCAAUAAUUUUUAGCGACUGAAAAUAAAAAUUCUAUAAAAAAUAGUGAUAUAGCACUAAAAUUUUCGAUCAGAAAUAUUGGUCUUGUUGUAAAUAGUAUAAAAAAUUUUGUAUCAAAAUUUCAUCUGAUUUGAAUACUUUUACACCGUUAAACUUGCAAACGGCAGAUAUCAUCCAUUAAAAAUUAUUGAUUUUGAAUCCUUUCGAUCACUAGGUAAAUAAUGUCAAAAAAUCACAAAAAUUAUUUUUUAGAAACUUUAAAUACGCUAGAUCAAGUCUAACGGACCCGAUCGUCGAUUCGGAAAUUCCAUCAUCGAAAACAGCUUAGGAGCACGGAGGCCUCCGUGCUCCUGAGAGUACAGCAGCCCUGCUCUCUCUCUCUCUCUCUCUCUCUCUCUCUCUCUCUCUCUCUAUAUAUAUAUAUAUAUAUAUAUAUAAUUUUU